rnacentral:rRNA from 1 species
UACCUUUUGUAUAAUGGGUCAGCGACUUAUAUUCUGUAGCAAGGUUAACCGUAUAGGGGAGCCGUAGGGAAACCGAGUCUUAACCGGGCGUUAAGUUGCAGGGUAUAGACCCGAAACCCGGUGAUCUAGCCAUGGGCAGGUUGAAGGUUGGGUAACACUAACUGGAGGACCGAACCGACUAAUGUUGAAAAAUUAGCGGAUGACCUGUGGCUGGGGGUGAAAGGCCAAUCAAACCGGGAGAUAGCUGGUUCUCCCCGAAAGCUAUUUAGGUAGCGCCUCGUGAACUCAUCUCCGGGGGUAGAGCACUGUUUCGGCUAGGGGGCCAUCCCGGCUUACCAACCCGAUGCAAACUGCGAAUACCGGAGAAUGUUAUCACGGGAGACACACGGCGGGUGCUAACGUCCGUCGUGAAGAGGGAAACAACCCAGACCGCCAGCUAAGGUCCCAAAGUCAUGGUUAAGUGGGAAACGAUGUGGGAAGGCCCAGACAGCCAGGAUGUUGGCUUAGAAGCAGCCAUCAUUUAAAGAAAGCGUAAUAGCUCACUGGUCGAGUCGGCCUGCGCGGAAGAUGUAACGGGGCUAAACCAU